rnacentral:rRNA from 1 species
AGACAGCAGUCGCCGCGGUAAUACAGAGGGUGCGAGCGUUAAUCGGAUUUACUGGGCGUAAAGCGUGCGUAGGCGGCUUCUUAAGUCGGAUGUGAAAUCCCUGAGCUUAACUUAGGAAUUGCAUUCGAUACUGGGAAGCUAGAGUAUGGGAGAGGAUGGUAGAAUUCCAGGUGUAGCGGUGAAAUGCGUAGAGAUCUGGAGGAAUACCGAUGGCGAAGGCAGCCAUCUGGCCUAAUACUGACGCUGAGGUACGAAAGCAUGGGGAGCGAACAGGAUUAGAUACCCCCGUAGUCCCUGUCUCUUAUAC